UACGUAGGGACCAAGCGUUGUUCGGAUUUACUGGGCGUAAAGGGCGCGUAGGCGGCAAUUCAAGUCAGCUGUGAAAUCUCCGAGCUUAACUCGGAACGGUCAGCUGAUACUGUUUUGCUAGAGUGCAGAAAGGGCAACCGGAAUUCCUGGUGUAGCGGUGAAAUGCGCAGAUAUCAGGAGGAACACCGGUGGCGAAGGCGGUGGUCUGGGCCGGCACUGACGCUGAGGAGCGAAAGCGUGGGGAGCGAACAGG
rnacentral:rRNA from 1 species